rnacentral:rRNA from 1 species
AGAGUUUGAUCCUGGCUCAGGACGAACGCUGGCGGCGCGCCUAACACAUGCAAGUCGAACGAGCGAGAGAGAGCUUGCUUUCUCGAGCGAGUGGCGAACGGGUGAGUAACGCGUGAGGAAUCUGCCUCAAAGAGGGGGACAACAGUUGGAAACGACUGCUAAUACCGCAUAAGCCCACGGGUCGGCAUCGACCAGAGGGAAAAGGAGCAAUCCGCUUUGAGAUGGCCUCGCGUCCGAUUAGCUAGUUGGUGAGGUAACGGCCCACCAAGGCGACGAUCGGUAGCCGGACUGAGAGGUUGAACGGCCACAUUGGGACUGAGACACGGCCCAGACUCCUACGGGAGGCAGCAGUGGGGAAUAUUGCACAAUGGGGGAAACCCUGAUGCAGCGACGCCGCGUGGAGGAAGAAGGUCUUCGGAUUGUAAACUCCUGUUGUUGGGGAAGAUAAUGACGGUACCCAACAAGGAAGUGACGGCUAACUACGUGCCAGCAGCCGCGGUAAAACGUAGGUCACAAGCGUUGUCCGGAAUUACUGGGUGUAAAGGGAGCGCAGGCGGGAAGACAAGUUGGAAGUGAAAUCUAUGGGCUCAACCCAUAAACUGCUUUCAAAACUGUUUUUCUUGAGUAGUGCAGAGGUAGGCGGAAUUCCCGGUGUAGCGGUGGAAUGCGUAGAUAUCGGGGGGAACACCAGUGGCGAAGGCGGCCUACUGGGCACCAACUGACGCUGAGGCUCGAAAGUGUGGGUAGCAAACAGGAUUAGAUACCCUGGUAGUCCACACCGUAAACGAUGAUUACUAGGUGUUGGAGGAUUGACCCCUUCAGUGCCGCAGUUAACACAAUAAGUAAUCCACCUGGGGAGUACGACCGCAAGGUUGAAACUCAAAGGAAUUGACGGGGGCCCGCACAAGCAGUGGAGUAUGUGGUUUAAUUCGACGCAACGCGAAGAACCUUACCAAGUCUUGACAUCCCUUGACAGGCAUAGAAAUAUGUUUUCUCUUCGGAGCAAGGAGACAGGUGGUGCAUGGUUGUCGUCAGCUCGUGUCGUGAGAUGUUGGGUUAAGUCCCGCAACGAGCGCAACCCUUAUGGUCAGUUACUACGCAAGAGGACUCUGGCCAGACUGCCGUUGACAAAACGGAGGAAGGUGGGGAUGACGUCAAAUCAUCAUGCCCUUUAUGACUUGGGCUACACACGUACUACAAUGGCGUUAAACAAAGAGAAGCAAGACCGCGAGGUGGAGCAAAACUCAGAAACAACGUCCCAGUUCGGACUGCAGGCUGCAACUCGCCUGCACGAA